UUCCUUGACAUACACCACAUCUAAGUGAGAUUAUCUACUGUAAAACCCUUAUUUAAAUGUGCUGGAAACUCAAAAUGAAGAUCUGCUAUGUUGUGCACAUCUGCAUGUUUCUGACAGGGAUUAGAGUUUCAUCAACAGACCUUAUUAAGCAUGGAUUCAGUGGAAACAAUGUUAUCAUUUCAUGUGGCCACAGCUGGGCUUCAACCAACGUAAAGUACUUCUGCAGAGAUCCAUGUAAUAAUAAAGAUAUUCGUGUAUCAUCUAAUCGGUCACCUAACGGGAGAUUCAGACUGACAGAUUUUGGGACAGGAACGUUCACAGUGACCAUCACUGAUCUACAGGUGUCAGACUCUGGGGUUUACUGGUGUGGAGUGAGCAGAUAUGGUAGAGACACAUAUAUAAAGGUCAAUCUGAGAGUAUUUAAAGCCAUUAUACAUACUUCAACUGUAUUAGACACAACGCAUCCAUUUUCAACACCACAACCAGAAACUCCAUUUUCCACAUCAAGCAGAACCUCCAGAUUCUCAACCCCUGACGACAUCACAACCUCAUCCUCACUGACGGCCAUUACACCAACUUCCACCACAUUAGACACAACUCAACCGCUUUCUACAGCAACAUCACAACCAGAAAGUCUAUUUGCCACAUCAAGCAGAACCUCCAAAUACUCAACAUCUAAUGAAAUCACAACCUCAUCCUCAA